CUAAAAAAAAAAAGAGAGGAAGAAGGUAAACGGGUCAAGGAAUAUCUACGUUGCUUCUUCAAAUCUCUCUAUUAUUGACAGCUUCUUCUUCUUCUUUCCCCUUUCUCUCUCGACUUGGACGAAUAGCAAUCGCAUAAUCAUCUCCGAUCAUCUUCUUCUUCUUCCCUCUUCUCCGUUAAUCUUCCCGAUUCUGCGAUUUCUCAGUUUACAUGAUGAAAUCUAGUGGUAAUCUUAUUAAGGGGUUUCUUCGUCUCCAGCUUUGAUUCAUCGCUUAAUCUCUCUUGGUAUCGAUUUCAACUAGUUUGGAACCUCAAUACCUUCAAAUCCGUAUCUCGUAGAAGUUACAACGAAAUCGCAACAAGCUGGUGUAUUCAGAUGGAUUCGAAGAUUAAAUGGAAUCGCCUGCAAAUAGCAGCAAGGGGGCUGCUAUGAAUGCAUUCAAGGAUUUUGUACAACUCUUUCUAUGAGAGAACAGGUGCUUCUCAUGCUAUAGAUAUUCCAAACACAUAUUUUUGGUUAUGGUGAUUGUGCAAUGUAAUAUUCAUGUUUUGAGCAUUCCAUCUCACCUGCUGCUGAAUGCAAAUUUCAUUGCUGCAUUCACAUCAAACUUACGGCAGGUCUAGUUAUCUCUUGGAGGUAAACUCAGGAACAUUUACAUGGUCAAUCAUCGUCACAGGUUACACUCUCUAAACAAAUACUUGUGCUUACAUGCAAAAAUCCUACUUUCCAAUCCCUAACAAUUUAAUUUUCAUACAUUUUUGUGACAACAAUUUAGAAGAAGAAAGAAGACUCCCUCUUCCACCUUCUGAGCAGCCUCUUAAGCAUUUCGCAUCUCUUUGUUAGCCGAGCACAAUGUUUCUUCUUAAAACCAGAGUCCUUGGGUAUGACGACCGAAUCCUGAGUUGUAGACAGCUUUUCUCUCAUCCCUGUGGCAUUGGAUGAUCAUGCGAAUAUGGUGGAUCUCCAUCUGAUGAGUUAGAAACAGUUAACCAGAUUAAUCAAUUAUAGAGUCGAGAAGAAGAAGAAGCAUGCAAUCAAGGUUCAAGAAGAAGACAUAUACUUCAAGCUAUUCAACUUGUUUACAAGUUACACUGAAGUCACAAGCUGAGGAUGUUUGUUAAUUCUCUUAAUCGAGAAGAGAAGCAUGCAAUCGGGGUUCAAGAAGAAGACCUAUAUAUAUUUUUCAAGCUAUUCAACUGUUUACAGGUUCACAAGCUGAGCAAGUGUUUGUUGUUAACUCUCUUAUUAUUAUUAUUUCUAGGAUUAAGUUUGUAAUGAUGCUUAAUAUUAUCAUCAUGACACAAAUUUUCAAGGGUAAAUAAAAUUUAUUCUGAGAUCACAAACUAAA